rfam:Schistosoma margrebowiei strain Zambia genome assembly, scaffold: SMRZ_contig0000697
AUCCAUCUGAUGAGUCCCAGAUAGAACGAAACGCGCAUCCUAGAU